ACCGCGGUUAUACGAGAGGCCCAAAUUGAUGAAAAACGGCGUAAAGCGUGGUUAAGAAAAUAAGAGAAAAAUAUGGCCGAACAGCUUCAAAGCAGUUAUACGCAUUCGAAGCCACGAAGAACAACCACGAAAGUUGCCCUAAAACCUCUGAUUCCACGAAAGCCAUAAA
rnacentral:rRNA from 1 species